GUGGAUUAGAUACCCUGGUAGUCCACGCCCUAAACGAUGUCGACUAGUUGUUCGGGAAGGUGACUUCUUGAGUAACGUAGCUAACGCGUGAAGUCGACCGCCUGGGGAGUACGGCCGCAAGGUUAAAACUCAAAGAAAUUGACGGGGACCCGCACAAGCGGUGGAUGAUGUGGAUUAAUUCGAUGCAACGCGAAAAACCUUACCUACCCUUGACAUGCCUGGAAGUCUGCAGAGAUGCGGAUGUGCCUUCGGGAACCAGGACACAGGUGCUGCACGGUCGUCGACAGCU
rnacentral:rRNA from 1 species